rnacentral:rRNA from 1 species
UACGUAGGGUGCGAGCGUUAAUCGGAAUUACUGGGCGUAAAGCGUGCGCAGGCGGUUUUGUAAGCCAGAUGUGAAAUCCCCGGGCUCAACCUGGGAAUGGCAUUUGGGACUGCAAGGCUUGAGUGCGGCAGAGGAGACUGGAAUUCCUGGUGUAUCAGUGAAAUGCGUAGAUAUCAGGAGGAAUACCGAUGGCGAAGGCAGGUCUCUGGGCUGACACUGACGCUCAUGCACGAAAGCGUGGGGAGCAAACAGG